AGAAGUUUAGGUUAAAAAAGACCAAGGGCCUUCAAAGCCUUAAGUAAGUGCCACCCACUUAACUCCUG
rnacentral:tRNA from 1 species